rnacentral:rRNA from 4 species
GAGAGUCGCAGAUACCAGGUGGCUGCAACUGUUUAUUAAAAACACAGCACUGUGCAAAAUCGUAAGAUGACGUAUACGGUGUGACGCCUGCCCGGUGCCGGAAGGUUAAUUGAUGGGGUUAGACUUCGGUCGAAGCUCUUGAUCGAAGCCCCGGUAAACGGCGGCCGUAACUAUAACGGUCCUAAGGUAGCGAAAUUCCUUGUCGGGUAAGUUCCGACCUGCACGAAUGGCGUAAUGAUGGCCACGCUGUCUCCACCCGAGACUCAGUGAAAUUGAAAUCGCUGUGAAGAUGCAGUGUACCCGCGGCUAGACGGAAAGACCCCGUGAACCUUUACUACAGCUUGGCACUGAACAUUGACCCUACAUGUGUAGGAUAGGUGGGAGGCUUUGAAGCACGUACGCCAGUAUGUGUGGAGCCGUCCUUGAAAUACCACCCUUGUAGUGUUGAUGUUCUAACGUCGACCCCUUAUCGGGGUUGCGGACAGUGCCUGGUGGGUAGUUUGACUGGGGCGGUCUCCUCCCAAAGAGUAACGGAGGAGCACGAAGGUGGGCUAAUCACGGUUGGACAUCGUGAGGUUAGUGCAAUGGCAUAAGCCCGCUUGACUGCGAGAAUGACAAUUCGAGCAGGUGCGAAAGCAGGUCAUAGUGAUCCGGUGGUUCUGAAUGGAAGGGCCAUCGCUCAACGGAUAAAAGGUACUCCGGGGAUAACAGGCUGAUACCGCCCAAGAGUUCAUAUCGACGGCGGUGUUUGGCACCUCGAUGUCGGCUCAUCACAUCCUGGGGCUGAAGUCGGUCCCAAGGGUAUGGCUGUUCGCCAUUUAAAGUGGUACGCGAGCUGGGUUUAGAACGUCGUGAGACAGUUCGGUCCCUAUCUGCCGUGGGCGUUGGAAGAUUGAAGGGGGCUGCUCCUAGUACGAGAGGACCGGAGUGGACGAACCUCUGGUGUUCGGGUUGUGUCGCCAGACGCAUUGCCCGGUAGCUAAGUUCGGAAUCGAUAACCGCUGAAAGCAUCUAAGCGGGAAGCGAGCCCUGAGAUGAGUCUUCCCUGAUACUUUAAGUAUCCUAAAGGGUUGUCGGAGACUACGACGUUGAUAGGUCAGGUGUGUAAGUGCUGUGAGGCAUUGAGCUAACUGAUACUAAUUGCCCGUGAGGCUUAACCAU